GGGGAAUUUUGGACAAUGGGGGCAACCCUGAUCCAGCCAUGCCGCGUGAGUGAAGAAGGCCUUCGGGUUGUAAAGCUCUUUUGUACGGAACGAAAAGCCUCUCUCUAAUACAGGGGGGUGAUGACGGUACCGUAAGAAUAAGCACCGGCUAACUACGUGCCAGCAGCCGCGGUAAUACGUAGGGUGCAAGCGUUAAUCGGAAUUACUGGGCGUAAAGCGUGCGCAGGCGGUUUUGUAAGACAGGCGUGAAAUCCCCGGGCUCAACCUGGGAACUGCGCUUGUGACUGCAAGACUAGAGUACGGCAGAGGGGGGUGGAAUUCCACGUGUAGCAGUGAAAUGCGUAGAGAUGUGGAGGAACACCAAUGGCGAAGGCAGCCCCCUGGGUCGAUACUGACGCUCAUGCACGAAAGCGUGGGGAGCAAACA
rnacentral:rRNA from 1 species